AUUUUUUUUUUUUUUUUUCUCCUGUCUGUGUGGCUUCAGUUUUAUCUCAGCUAAGCUAUAUAAAAAAAAAAAAAAAAAAGUUGUCUCUUCUAGUUCUUCUUCUUUUCGAUCCGAAAGUCCAAAACCCUAGCUCCGAUAGAAAGAAAGAGGGAGAUCGGAAUCGUUGAGCAUGGAACGAAUCGUCGGCGGCAAGUACAAGCUCGGCCGCAAGAUCGGCAGUGGAUCCUUCGGCGAAAUCUUCCUCGCUACUCAUGUAGAUUCCUUUGAGAUCGUCGCCGUUAAGAUCGAAAAUAGUAAAACAAAACAUCCGCAGUUGCUUUACGAGGCCAAGUUAUACAACAUUCUUCAAGGAGGAAGGGGUAUUCCUAAUAUAAGAUGGUCUGGGAUAGACGGUGAGGAUAAUGUACUUGUGCUUGAUUUGUUGGGGCCGAGUCUCGAGGACCUGUUGGUGUAUUGCGGGAGGAAGUUCUCGUUGAAGACGGUGUUGAUGUUGGCUGAUCAAAUGAUUACGAGAAUUGAGUACGUCCACUCCAAAGGAUUUUUGCAUAGAGACAUAAAACCUGACAACUUCCUCAUGGGUCUUGGUCGGAAAGCAAAUCAGGUCUACAUAAUUGAUUUUGGGCUUGCAAAAAGAUAUCGGGAUGCAACAACCAAUCGUCAUAUUCCUUACAGGGAGAAUAAAAACUUGACGGGGACUGCGCGUUAUGCAAGUUGCAAUACUCAUCUUGGAAUCGAGCAAAGCCGGCGGGAUGAUUUGGAAUCACUUGGAUAUGUGCUUUUAUAUUUUUUGAGAGGAAGCCUUCCAUGGCAGGGUUUAAAAGCUGCCACAAAGAAGCAAAAGUAUGACAAAAUAUGUGAGAAGAAGUUAUCGACUCCUAUUGAGGUUCUCUGCAAAUCGCAUCCGGUGGAGUUUGCUUCAUACUUUCAUUACUGUCACUCACUAACAUUUGAUCAGCGGCCUGAUUAUGGAUUCUUAAAGCGUCUCUUCCAUGACUUAUUUGAUCGGGAAGGGUAUGAGUUAGAUUACAUAUUUGAUUGGACAAUCAUAAAGUACCAGCAGUCUCAAAAGAGUAGAACCCAACCUCGAUUAUCUCCAGUUCCCAGAGGGAGCAGCAGCCAUGCAAUGCCAAUGGAUGUGGACAAUCAUCAAGGUGUUAAUGCUUAUCCAGCUGAAGCAACAGAGUGCAUUAGAACUGGAAAUUCUAGCGGUCCUGGUGUUCGGAUGCAUUUUAAAUCACCAAUGACCAAGAAUGUAAAUUCUGAGAAUCCUAUCGAGAAGAAUGUUCUGAGUGAAGCACACAUGGCCUCUACUUCAUAUUCGCUCGCUGGUACCUCCAAACGAAAUUCCUCAAAGCCUAUUUUGCCCUCUGAAGCAACAAAUCCUGGUAAUGGAAAUGGCAAUAGAAUGGGUCCUUCGAGUAGUUGGAUUUCAUCACUGCCGCGCAUCUCUUCUGCGAAGUGAUGUGCUAUGGAUCUGCUCAAGAAGAUUCUAGUGAUACAAUAUUUGAAGCUGCAAAGGUGUGGGGAUUCGAUGUUAUGUUUCUGUUAUGUAUGUGAUCAAGAAGAUUCUAGUGAUGCAUCUGUGGAGGCUGCAAAAUGUGUCGCUAAUUUGAUGUGUUGCAUUAGCUCCUCUAUUGAUGCCAGCAUGCGUAAUUUUUUCUUAAGGGCUUGAUCUUUGUUCUACAAUUGGUUGCUUAAUCCCUGAAAGUUGGUGUUUUUAAAAUUGUGUAGCAUGGUGGAGAGUCUUGGUGUCUUCUUUUUGAUAUAUGGAUUUUUCUUCUGCUACAGCUAGUUUGAAGAUGGAAUAUGGCAGGCUAAUACCAUUUAUGGAUGGUAUAUGAAGACCAUAAAAACCUCUUCUCUGCAAGCUACUACUACUGGUCAGGAAAGAUGCCAUCCCAGUGCUUACCGGAGAAGUCUGCAUAAAAAGAAAUGUUGACAACAUGGGAUUGAUAUGUUGACCGUAUGGAUUUUUGUAUGCUAGUUCUUGAAAUUUGGAGAUGUCAUGAAAAUUGCACCCUUGAUUUCAACAAAAAAUUAUGAAAUUAUUGGUAGCUUCUUCUCUGCAGGAAGAAGUGCUUCUGCUUGAAAAGGGGUGGGUUAGAUUAUUCCUUCUCUUACUAGGAGUGGUAUUUAAUGCACCACAAUUAUUACUUGGAUGUGUUGAAAUCUGCUGAGCCCUUUGUGCUGGAUGCUUGGGACUCAAUUAAUAUCCUGAUGUAGUCUAAUCGGGAGAUUAUAAGAAGCCUGAUAUCUUUCUUUUAUUGCUAUUCCAUUUUUGUCUGAAAGGUAAGCUUGUCCUGCCAGGUACAUCCCUCCUGAAUGCAGGUUAGUAUGGAAGUUUUUCAAUUACUUUUGGUUCGCUAGGAAUCUGUCACAAUUUUUAUGGAUUGUCAACUUAUUGCAUUGGGCACAUGGGAUUGUUUGGUGCAUUUGUACUAUGAGAACUUGUAUGUUAUUUCAAAGCACCAAUGUGGUGGCAUCAACUGUUUUAAGGAGCCAAGUGUUACCAUUGGACAUUUUAGGUAAAAUUAUGUGGAGAAUUAGAUUUGCUUUUAACGUUGGGGUUCUUUUUCUAUGUUUUAAUGCUGAUAUUCCUGUGGGCAUUAGUGUAUUUCAUGACUCCAGUCGAUGUGAGCUGUCCCAGGAAAAAAGAAGAAAUGUUUUAGGAAAUGAGUAGUGUGCAGCAGCAGUCAAGGUGAGAUCCCAAAAGGUAGUUAUAUUGUUAUCCACUCCUAUUAAAUCAUUCAUCAAAGAUGAUGAUUCCUAUUAAAGUUUGGCCUUUAAAAUGCAUUGAUAAUCUAUACUUCAUGUUCAUCUGCCAAGGAAACCCCAACCCAUUUCAGUUUUAUUAUUUGGGGUCACUGAUAUUUCAGGCAUUGUGGCAGUCUCUGGCUCCGAGUUGCUUGUACCAGAAGGAUGCCAGACAGGAAAAUAUUGUUUUGAAAGUUGGAACCAUAUAGAUUUUGUAGUGGCUACUGUUGUGAUCCAAUACAUGCAGGAUUUGGUAAAGUUCUCGGUAUAUGUUUGCUGAAAGUUGGUUUAGCGUGCUGAAUGUGACCUGAGACUUGAUCUUGAGGAGUUUGCUUUGUCUAGUAAAUGAAAGAACCGCAGUGGUGUAUUGCAAAAUUUUUGGUCGUAAUUUACUUUCAUUCUACUGUUCAUUGUUCCUCCGGAAAAGUGAUUUAAUUUAAUUUUUUUUUUCAUUUUAUUUAUACAAUUGUUUUUUCAUUAAA